rnacentral:rRNA from 1 species
UACAGAGGUCCCAAGCGUUGUUCGGAUUCACUGGGCGUAAAGGGUGCGUAGGUGGCCAGGUAAGUUCGGUGUGAAAGCUCGGAGCUUAACUCCGAAAUGUCAUUGAAUACUAUCUGGCUAGAGGGUUGGAGGGGAGACUGGAAUUCUCGGUGUAGCAGUGAAAUGCGUAGAUAUCGAGAGGAACACCAGUGGCGAAGGCGAGUCUCUGGACGACACCUGACACUGAGGCACGAAAGCUAGGGGAGCAAACAGG